rnacentral:rRNA from 1 species
GUCGAGGAUCUUCGGCAAUGGGCGCAAGCCUGACCGAGCGACGCCGCGUGUGCGAUGAAGGCCUUCGGGUUGUAAAGCACUGUCGAGGGGGAGGAAAGCCGCAAGGCCUGACCUAUCCCUGGAGGAAGCACGGGCUAAGUUCGUGCCAGCAGCCGCGGUAAGACGAACCGUGCAAACGUUAUUCGGAAUCACUGGGCUUAAAGGGCGCGUAGGCGGGUGGCCAAGUCAGGGGUGAAAUCUUUCCGCUCAACGGGAAAACAGCUUUUGAUACUGGCCGUCUAGAGGGGGGUAGGGGCAUGUGGAACUUCCGGUGGAGCGGUGAAAUGCGUAGAUAUCGGAAGGAACGCCGGUGGCGAAAGCGACGUGCUGGACCCUUUCUGACGCUGAGGCGCGAAAGCCAGGGGAGCAAACGGGAUUAGAAACCCCAGUAGUCC